UACGAAGGGGGCUAGCGUUGUUCGGAAUUACUGGGCGUAAAGGGCGCGUAGGCGGCGACUCAAGUUAGAUGUGAAAGUCCUGGGCUUAACCUGGGGACUGCAUUUGAUACUGGGUUGCUUGAAUUCGGGAGAGGAUAGCGGAAUUCCCAGUGUAGAGGUGAAAUUCGUAGAUAUUGGGAAGAACACCGGUGGCGAAGGCGGCUAUCUGGACCGACAUUGACGCUGAGGCGCGAAAGCGUGGGGAGCAAACAGG
rnacentral:rRNA from 1 species